rnacentral:lncRNA from 1 species
GCUCAGGUUAUCUGUUUCUAAAAGCCCAGGCGCAUCUCUUUUCAGAGGCCCAGGCAGGCUCCGGUAACCGAAUACGAGGAGUUUUUUUUAGCACAAUCUAACAUAUGUGUGGUCGGAAGCGACGGACUGCAGCCAAAAUUGCAACGAAAAAGGAAUUGGUUAUGGACUUCUGAUUUUGGAUGGACAAAAGUUAUUUAAUGGGCCGUGUUUUCCUAUAAACGGGCCCAGGUAAUUGGAUCAUUCUCUCCUGAUAGAGCCUCACAGUCUGCCUGGGCUAGGAGGAAGAGAAU